GACGAACGCUGGCGGNGUGCUUAACACAUGCAAGUCGAACGAAAAGAGGGAAAGAGCUUGCUCUUUCCGGAAUUGAGUGGCAAACGGGUGAGUAACACGUAAACAACCUGCCUUCAGGAUGGGGACAACAGACGGAAACGACUGCUAAUACCGAAUAAGUUCCAAGAGCCGCAUGGCCCAUGGAAGAAAAGGUGGCCUCUACCUGUAAGCUAUCGCCUGAAGAGGGGUUUGCGUCUGAUUAGCUGGUUGGAGGGGUAACGGCCCACCAAGGCGACGAUCAGUAGCCGGUCUGAGAGGAUGAACGGCCACACUGGAACUGAGACACGGUCCAGACUCCUACGGGAGGCAGCAGUGGGGAAUCUUCCGCAAUGGGCGAAAGCCUGACGGAGCAACGCCGCGUGAGUGAUGACGGCCUUCGGGUUGUAAAACUCUGUGAUCCGGGACGAAAAGGCAGAGUGCGAAGAACAAACUGCAUUGACGGUACCGGAAAAGCAAGCCACGGCUAACUACGUGCCAGCAGCCGCGGUAAUACGUAGGUGGCAAGCGUUGUCCGGAAUUAUUGGGCGUAAAGCGCGCGCAGGCGGCUUCCCAAGUCCCUCUUAAAAGUGCGGGGCUUAACCCCGUGAUGGGAAGGAAACUGGGAAGCUGGAGUAUCGGAGAGGAAAGUGGAAUUCCUAGUGUAGCGGUGAAAUGCGUAGAGAUUAGGAAGAACACCGGUGGCGAAGGCGACUUUCUGGACGAAAACUGACGCUGAGGCGCGAAAGCGUGGGGAGCAAACAGG
rnacentral:rRNA from 1 species